GCUGGGUGUGGUGGCGCACGCCUGUAAUCCCAGCACUCGGGAGGCUGAGGCAGGAGGAUCGCUGUGAGUUGAGACAGCCUGGACUACAUAGUGAGUUCCAGGUCAGUCUCAACUACAUAGUGAAACCCUGUCUCAA
rnacentral:SRP_RNA from 1 species